GACGAACGCUGGCGGCGUGCUUAACACAUGCAAGUCGAACGGAAAGGCCCUGCUUUUGUGGGGUGCUCGAGUGGCGAACGGGUGAGUAACACGUGAGUAACCUGCCCUUGACUAUGGGAUAACUUCAGGAAACUGGGGCUAAUAACGGAUAGGAGCUCCUGCUGCAUGGUGGGGGUUGGAAAGUUUCGGCGGUUGGGGAUGGACUCGCGGCUUAUCAGCUUGUUGGUGGGGUAGUGGCUUACCAAGGCUUUGACGGGUAGCCGGCCUGAGAGGGUGACCGGCCACAUUGGGACUGAGAUACGGCCCAGACUCCUACGGGAGGCAGCAGUGGGGAAUAUUGCACAAUGGGCGGGAGCCUGAUGCGGCAACGCCGCGUGCGGGAUGACGGCCUUCGGGUUGUAAACCGCUUUCGCCUGUGACGAAGCGUGAGUGACGGUAAUGGGUAAAGAAGCACCGGCUAACUACGUG
rnacentral:rRNA from 1 species